rnacentral:rRNA from 1 species
GGUUAAGCGACUAAGCGUACACGGUGGAUGCCCUGGCAGUCAGAGGCGAUGAAGGACGUGCUAAUCUGCGAAAAGCGUCGGUAAGGUGAUAUGAACCGUUAUAACCGGCGAUGUCCGAAUGGGGAAACCCAGUGCAAUUCGUUGCACUAUCGUUAACUGAAUACAUAGGUUAACGAGGCGAACCGGGGGAACUGAAACAUCUAAGUACCCCGAGGAAAAGAAAUCAACCGAGAUUCCCCCAGUAGCGGCGAGCGAACGGGGAGCAGCCCAGAGUCUGAAUCAGCUUGUGUGUUAGUGGAACGGUCUGGAAAGUCCGACGGUACAGGGUGAUAGUCCCGUACACCAAAAUGCACAGGUUGUGAACUCGAAGAGUAGGGCGGGACACGUGGUAUCCUGUCUGAAUAUGGGGGGACCAUCCUCCAAGGCUAAAUACUCCUGACUGACCGAUAGUGAACCAGUACCGUGAGGGAAAGGCGAAAAGAACCCCGGCGAGGGGAGUGAAAAAGAACCUGAAACCGUGUACGUACAAGCAGUGGGAGCACCUUCGGGUGUGACUGCGUACCUUUUGUAUAAUGGGUCAGCGACUUAUAUUCUGUAGCAAGGUUAACCGUAUAGGGGAGCCGCAGGGAAACCGAGUCUUAACUGGGCGUUAAGUUGCAGGGUAUAGACCCGAAACCCGGUGAUCUAGCCAUGGGCAGGUUGAAGGUUGGGUAACACUAACUGGAGGACCGAACCGACUAAUGUUGAAAAAUUAGCGGAUGACUUGUGGCUGGGGGUGAAAGGCCAAUCAAACCGGGAGAUAGCUGGUUCUCCCCGAAAGCUAUUUAGGUAGCGCCUCGUGAAUUCAUCUUCGGGGGUAGAGCACUGUUUCGGCUAGGGGGUCAUCCCGACUUACCAACCCGAUGCAAACUACGAAUACCGAAGAAUGUUAUCACGGGAGACACACGGCGGGUGCUAACGUCCGUCGUGAAGAGGGAAACAACCCAGACCGCCAGCUAAGGUCCCAAAGUCAUGGUUAAGUGGGAAACGAUGUGGGAAGGCACAGACAGCCAGGAUGUUGGCUUAGAAGCAGCCAUCAUUUAAAGAAAGCGUAAUAGCUCACUGGUCGAGUCGGCCUGCGCGGAAGAUGUAACGGGGCUAAACCAUGCACCGAAGCUGCGGCAGCGACGCUUAUGCGUUGUUGGGUAGGGGAGCGUUCUGUAAGCCUGCGAAGGUGACCUGUGAGGGUUGCUGGAGGUAUCAGAAGUGCGAAUGCUGACAUAAGUAACGAUAAAGCGGGUGAAAAGCCCGCUCGCCGGAAGACCAAGGGUUCCUGUCCAACGUUAAUCGGGGCAGGGUGAGUCGACCCCUAAGGCGAGGCCGAAAGGCGUAGUCGAUGGGAAACAGGUUAAUAUUCCUGUACUUGGUGUUACUGCGAAGGGGGGACGGAGAAGGCUAUGUUAGCCGGGCGACGGUUGUCCCGGUUUAAGCAUGUAGGCUGGUUGUCCAGGCAAAUCCGGAUAAUCAAGGCUGAGGUGUGAUGACGAGGCACUACGGUGCUGAAGUAACAAAUGCCCUGCUUCCAGGAAAAGCCUCUAAGCAUCAGGUAACAUUAAAUCGUACCCCAAACCGACACAGGUGGUCAGGUAGAGAAUACCAAGGCGCUUGAGAGAACUCGGGUGAAGGAACUAGGCAAAAUGGUGCCGUAACUUCGGGAGAAGGCACGCUGGUGUGUAGGUGAAGUCCCUGCGGAUGGAGCUGAGACCAGUCGAAGAUACCAGCUGGCUGCAACUGUUUAUUAAAAACACAGCACUGUGCAAACACGAAAGUGGACGUAUACGGUGUGACGCCUGCCCGGUGCCGGAAGGUUAAUUGAUGGGGUUAUCCGUAAGGAGAAGCUCUUGAUCGAAGCCCCGGUAAACGGCGGCCGUAACUAUAACGGUCCUAAGGUAGCGAAAUUCCUUGUCGGGUAAGUUCCGACCUGCACGAAUGGCGUAAUGAUGGCCAGGCUGUCUCCACCCGAGACUCAGUGAAAUUGAACUCGCUGUGAAGAUGCAGUGUACCCGCGGCAAGACGGAAAGACCCCGUGAACCUUUACUAUAGCUUGACACUGAACAUUGAGCCUUGAUGUGUAGGAUAGGUGGGAGGCUUUGAAGCGUGGACGCCAGUCUGCGUGGAGCCAACCUUGAAAUACCACCCUUUAAUGUUUGAUGUUCUAACGUUGGCCCCUUACCGGGGUUGCGGACAGUGUCUGGUGGGUAGUUUGACUGGGGCGGUCUCCUCCCAAAGCGUAACGGAGGAGCACGAAGGUUAGCUAAUCCUGGUCGGACAUCAGGAGGUUAGUGCAAUGGCAUAAGCUAGCUUGACUGCGAGCGUGACGGCGCGAGCAGGUGCGAAAGCAGGUCAUAGUGAUCCGGUGGUUCUGAAUGGAAGGGCCAUCGCUCAACGGAUAAAAGGUACUCCGGGGAUAACAGGCUGAUACCGCCCAAGAGUUCAUAUCGACGGCGGUGUUUGGCACCUCGAUGUCGGCUCAUCACAUCCUGGGGCUGAAGUAGGUCCCAAGGGUAUGGCUGUUCGCCAUUUAAAGUGGUACGCGAGCUGGGUUUAGAACGUCGUGAGACAGUUCGGUCCCUAUCUGCCGUGGGCGCUGGAGAAUUGAGGGGGGCUGCUCCUAGUACGAGAGGACCGGAGUGGACGCAUCACUGGUGUUCGGGUUGUCAUGCCAAUGGCACUGCCCGGUAGCUAAAUGCGGAAGAGAUAAGUGCUGAAAGCAUCUAAGCACGAAACUUGCCCCGAGAUGAGUUCUCCCUGAGACUUUAAGUCUCCUGAAGGAACGUUAAAGACGAUGACGUUGAUAGGCCGGGUGUGUAAGCGCAGCGAUGCGUUGAGCUAACCGGUACUAAUGAACCGUGAGGCUUAACCUU